UUUCUGGAGGCCAAGCUUCAUUUCUCUGGCCUCCAGAUGGCCAUGCCACUCCCAGCAGCCCAGCUUGUGUGGGCACAGUCCAAGUCUAAGGAAGGAUCAACUGGCGGUAAGCUGAGAAAAGAUGAAGUUCUGCAGCUGGAAGAUGAUAUUUCUUCUGAGCAGCUGUCAGUGAAAAAGGCACAUGGACACUCUAGACGUCAUGUGUCACAAAGGCUUCAUCCAGGAUUUUUACUCCAUGCAUAGUUAUUAAUGUUGAGAAUGGGAAUUGCCAUCAAAUUGCUGAACAAUGAAAAGGCCAAAGUAUCAGGAUUGCUAUUAUCUCCGCAACAAAGAUUAUAACGAGAGCGAGAAGAGAGCCCAAAUGAAUUCCACACGUGCUUCCCCAAGGCAAAUGACAUUAACAAAUGGCAUAAAAGGCUAGAUCUGAAGUCCGUGGAAGUGAAGGGAAAGACUUCCAAGGUUUCCAAGUUACUCUUUGGGCUGGUUUGGGUGAUACUUCAUCCGUCAGUCCAACCACACAUGAUAAAGACAUGUAGAUCACCUUCUGGCAUGUCAAUAAAAUUAUUGAUUCAAAAAUUUGAUUUUUAAAACUGACAAAAAGGUUUUUAAAUUGUUUGGCAUUGUAUUUUGUAUUUUGAAUAUUUUGGGGUGUGUUGUGAUUUCAUGUGUUAUGUGUUUUCAUCAAGUAAAAACGCAUAACAAUACUGUGUUGUGAGCCGUCCAAAGAACAAUUUGUUGGUGGGGGGCUAACAAAUAAAGUUGUUUUACUAUUACUUUUA